rnacentral:rRNA from 1 species
CCUACGGGUGGCUGCAGUGGGGAAUAUUGGACAAUGGGGGCAACCCUGAUCCAGCCAUGCCGCGUGUGUGAAGAAGGCCCUCGGGUUGUAAAGCACUUUCAGUGAGGAAGAACGCCUGGUGGUUAAUACCCAUCAGGAAACACAUCACUCACAGAAGAAGCACCGGCUAACUCCGUGCCAGCAGCCGCGGUAAUACGGAGGGUGCGAGCGUUAAUCGGAAUUACUGGGCGUAAAGCGCGCGUAGGUGGCUUGAUAAGCCGGUUGUGAAAGCCCCAGGCUCAACCUGGGAACGGCAUCCGGAACUGUCAAGCUAGAGUGCAGGAGAGGAAGGUAGAAUUCCCGGUGUAGCGGUGAAAUGCGUAGAGAUCGGGAGGAAUACCAGUGGCGAAGGCGGCCUUCUGGACUGACACUGACACUGAGGUGCGAAAGCGUGGGUAGCAAACAGGAUUAGAUACCCUUGUAGUC